GACGUGGGGAGCUGGCGUCCUAGCCCACCAAAAGGCCACAUGGGGACUAAACCCGAAGGCAGAGUGGCCGCUAAGCACUGUCCGCAGAAAGGGGAGCAGCAAGAGUGAACUCCAUAAGAGACACUCGUGCACAGGCGGCGCUGCAGGCUGGAGAACACUCACUUGCCGGCUGAAGAAUCAGACUAGGUGAGGUCCAGCUGGCCUGUAAACUGAUGAAUGUGGGCAAUAAGCCAGGGGAGCACAGCCUAUUAAGCCACUUGAGCAUGGCAGCUAGCUAAUGCCAUGACGCACAGUGGAUGGCCGAGCAGGAUGUGACGCAAGGCCGGUCCUAGGAGCCAAGCAUCCAACCCGCACUGUCCCACAAGGGCGAGGGGCUGGUGGCUUAGUCCAUAGAGAGUGGAGGGCCCAAGUGGGGAGGCGGUCCAAGUGGGGGGGGGCUGGCAGUCUAGUCCGUUGAAAGGCGAAGUGGGGACUUAACCCGAAGGUCUGCCCCAGGGCCGAGUGGCCGCUAGCAUUGUCCGCAGAAAGGGGAGCAGCAAGAGUGAACUCGAGAAUGAGACACUUGUGCACAGCCGGUGCUGCAGGCUGGAGAACACAUACUCGCCAGCUGAGGAAUCAGACACAGCGAGGUCCAGCUGGCGCGUAAACCUGUGAAUGCAGGCAAUACGCCAGGGGAACACAGCCUGCAGCUGCAGCAGCUAUAUGCCAGAGAGAAUCCUGGCUAAAAUAGGCUGGAGAACACUCACUCGCCACAGCGAGGUCCAACUGGCGCGUAAGCCUGAGAAAUGCAGCCAACACGCCAGGGGAACACAGCCUGCAGCUGAAGUGGAGGUCAGAGUCAGGGACAUGACUCACCGGGGGGUGUCAGCUCACUGAGCGGGCCCCUGCCGGCCAUGUAAACCCACAACAUGUGGGCAAUCUCCUAGACAGAGAGCCAUCGCCGCAGGCUGGAGAACUGUCAACCACUGCCUGAGGUGUCAAUGCAGCGUGGCUCGACUGGCAUAUAAACCUGUGAACCGCGGGCAAUAUGCCAGGGGAACAUAGCCUGCAGCAGGAGCUGGCCACUAGGCCCAACUCAAAGGAUGUCAGGGGGGAGGAGGGCAGCUGGAGGACACCUGAGUCUUAGCUCCAAGUCCUCCCUGUCUCACCUGUAUACGGCCAUCUGCGAAGGACUCAAACUGGGACUGGAGAUCUCCAGAGCCCCAAGUUGGAGUCUUGGGGCCAGGGCGAGGCCCAAAAGCUCUGGGCCCCCCUACCCUGGCCAUAUGCCCGCACAGGCACCUCAACAGCGAGGUGGCUGCAGGGUCGACCGGCAGCCUCAUCAGGCAGCCCUAUGACCAGAGCCGGGGCUGACAGCCAGAGGUGAGGACAAAAAAAUGAGGUGAAAGAGGAGCCGGUAGUAUGGCGUGCUCCCAUAUAAGCGAGGGCAGGUGCGAGGAAGGAGCCAACAGCUGUCCUGCACCGUCUGUGUCCCCAGCCCGCCUGCAGCUGUCACUCCAAGUGCCGCUGAUGGAGAGUCAAAUGGUAUUAUUUAACAGUGCUUGCCGCUGUUCUCCAUUUUGCUUGUCUUGCCGUAUGUUAAGUGGGUGACUGGACAUUUCAUUUUGGCUAGCUUGUUUAUUAGCAAUGACUUGCGCCACAUUCAUGUGCUCCUUACUUUUUCAUGUUUGUCAAAUAAAGAAUCGUUAAAAUUCUUUGACCAUUUAAAAAAUGCACCUGAUUUGUCUGCUAGAUGUGGAUGAAAGCGGCAAAUCUUGCACCACAUUUCAGCGCACUCAUUGUUAGCUUCAAGCCAUGGCACAUCUUGGAGCCACUUUUCUGAAAAGAAGUCUUUUCUUCGGCUCUGGCGUUUCUUAGCUGGUGGCGGCACACCAAAGAAGCUGCUUAAUGUCUGGGGGGUUUUUUUGGGAAAUUUAGCUGGUGACAAGAAACACAUGGAAGGUUAAAUGACACGGUCAAGUAUGCAAAGGCACUUGGUAACGCAAGUGUCACUAGGCAUUCCUAAUUUUUGUCACGCAUGUGUACCUGCGUACCAGUUAUGUGCACCCCUGUCUAUAACACACAGACAAACAACCCCUCACUCAAUAACUACUAUCAAAUUAUCAUGUCUAUUCAACCUAACAUGAAUGUUUUAGGUCUGUGGUAGGAAGCUGGAGUACCUGAAGAAAACACACACAUGCACAGUUAGAAAUACAAACUCAGCCAAGGCUUUAUACUAGGAACCUUCUGGCUGUGAGACAACAGUGCUAACCACCAUACCACUGUGCCACCCAUAGUAACUCAUAUAAUAAUUAUUAUUAUCAUUUCCACACUGUUCAGCAUUUAGUCUAUCAAGUUUGUUGUUAUAGCUAACAACUACUGCAGGAAAAUGGCAAGUUUCUUUAAGGUAUUGUUCUGUGUGUUCGUAAUGCUUGUAACCCUGGACUAUACUUCUGAAGAUGAGAUUAAAAUGGGAGUCUCUGGGAAUAACUAGGUGAGGAGCUAUUAAUGCCUUCAUAUACCAGCUGCCAUAAUUUUGUACUUUGCUUCAAAUAAAUAACUAAUACUUUUUUUUUAAAGGAAUGUCCUAUUAAACAAAAACAACAAAAUAACAAAUGCAAUAAAAACCCAGUCCUUCCUCACUGUUAAUAUUUCCCUGAAAUUCCAUUUAAAAGAAAGGGUAAGCACUCUCGUCACCUGACCACUUUUUAGCCAAUGAGCUUCAGUUUUCACCCCUCCCUCCUCACUUCGUGACUUCGAGUUGAGGAGUAUUGAAGCUUUGCUGUGAACUGGUGUGGAGACGCUAACAGGUAACUUUAAACUUUUGAAUUUUUCCAGCUUUAUAGUCCAGCAACCAGUUAGAUUUAGUUUUGUCAAGGUUUUUCUUUGAUGUAUAUUCCUUGAUUAAGUUUUGUAUUUCAAGCUAAUUCAAAUGCUAAAUCUAGCGUUUUUUGAUGACACGUUGUAUAUUUAUUAGUCAAGGUUAAAUACCUAGUCUAACACAUGUGUUUUUAAUUAAACUGUGACAUUUGAAAUUACUGAGAUGUUAUUAUUUACUCAUCCCACUGUCUCCAGAGUUUAAGCAAUGCUGCAAUAUACGUGACAUGCUAUUAAUGAGACAUUUCAGAUAACCGUGGUAGCUAACAUUUAACUCUCUGGAGUGCAGGUCACAUGGCCAAUUUAUGGUCUAUCAACUACAUGCGUAUCAGUUUUUUAAAAUGUGUUGAUAGGCCAAGUAAAACCAGAGUGAAGAUGUCAUCACGUUUAGUGCAGGAACAAAUAAAAACGUGAUUUCCUUUAAAAAAGAGAUAGAUAGAUAUAUUUUUACCUCUCCUUCCCUAUUGUGUUGAAUAAAUGAACAAGAGCCGAUCAAACAAUUAUAUGGCUGUUUUGGUUGUUUACUAAUAGGGAAACUUGUGGGAGUGAUGGCAGGAGAUUGCGGUGUCUAUAACAACUUUUGAGAUGUGAGAGAUUUGUGACAUUAAGUGUGUCUGGAGUGUAUAGUUAGUUUGUAGUUAAAUCUGGGUUUGAUUGAUUGUUUUGUGUGUCAGAAUGGUGAGGUGAAUGUCACCCUGACCCUGGCUAAAAAGCUACCAAAGGCAGACUGAAAUCUAAACGCUGUCUCCAGUGCAUUGCAAUGAGACAGCCAAGAGAAAAGAUUAAACCCAUAGAUGAAGCUGAUGUGCCCAUGGCAUCGUCCUCCCUCAAAGAUGAUGAGUAGUGCAUUACAAUGAGGCAGCCAAGAGACAAGUUUAAACCCAAAGAUGAAGCUGAUGCGCCCAUGGCAUCGUCCUCCCUCAAAGAUGAUGAGCAGGGCACACCGAUCUUCCUCAUGUUGAUACGCCCAUGGCAUCGUCCUCCCUCAAAGAUGAUGAGCAGGGCACACCGAUCUUCCUCAAGUUGAUACGCCCAUGGCAUCGUCCUCCCUCAAAGAUGAUGAGCGGGGCACACCGAUCGUCCUCAUGUUGAUAAGCCCAUGGCAUUGUCCUCCCUCAAAGAUGAUGAGCAGGGCACACCGAUCGUCCUCAUGUUGAUAAGCCCAUGGCAUCGUCCUCCCUCAAAGAUGAUGAGCAGGGCACACCGAUCUUCCUCAUGUUGAUACGCCCAUGGCAUCGUCCUCCCUCAAAGAUGAUGAGCAGGGCACACUGAUCUUCCUCAUGUUGAUACGCCCAUGGCAUCGUCCUCCCUCAAAGAUGAUGAGCGGAUGAUGAGCAGGGCACACCGAUCUUCCUCAAGUUGAUACGCCCAUGGCAUCGUCCUCCCUCAAAGAUGAUGAGCAGCAUUUCCUGAAAAUGGUGCUGAAGGGGAAAAUCCUCAAAGGAAACAAAAAUCUCCAUGAUGUCCCACAGAGAUUGGAGCAGUGAUGAGACAUUUCUGUGGGCACAUUGCUAAUGGGAGACUAUCCAUUGUGAUUAAAAUCAAACAGUGUAAAAAUGCUCAAUGUCCUGUAUGAGACAGUCGCUCUUUUCAAAAUGUAAGCGACUUUGUCAUGAAUCGUGGUUUAAUGCUAAAAAAGAGGAACAGUUGUUAAAUAAUCAGGUUAAAAAAAUCUAUACACACAUCUGAGACAUAUACAUGUUUGCAAAAGUCAUUUAGUUUGCAGUAGGGCUGGGCCAUAUCAUACCGUUCACGGUAAUACCGGUAUAAUUUUGGGCAAUGAUAAGAAAAUGAAAUAUUGCGAUAGAAUAUGGGUAAAACGCGCAUGCGCAGUGCCUUUGUUUUCAUACGCACAUGGCGGAUAAAGCAUGGCGGAGAAUGAGAAGGGCAAAAGUGGAUCGGCAGUGCCCUUUAUAAUCCCGCGGGCCUUAUGUAUGAAUUCUGGUUGUGUUUACUGACCUUGAAACGAUUUUAUGUGGUACACGGUGCUCAAAAAUCUGUCAAAUGUUUUAGCACGACUUUGCUAAGCUACGAACCCACACCGCUUGAUGGAUUGUCGGAGCAUUAUAGCUAUCGUAGGCAGGAGCCUCGCGGAGUGAUAUGUACUGUGCUUCAACAUAGUAUUACAGUAUUGUGUGUAUAUAACCUCUUUUUAAGUUUUGUGGACAUUAUACAUGGUUAUGCUGAGGAUAUGUCGGCCAAUUUCCACUGGAAAUGCCUUUUGGUUAAACUGUCAGCAAAGAAUUUGC